UGGCGGGAUGCCUAACACAUGCAAGUCGAGCGGCAGCACUUCGGGUGGCGAGCGGCGAACGGCUGAGUAACAUGUUGGUACUCACCCCAUACUCAGGAAUAAGCCUUGGAAACGAGGUCUAAUGCCGGAUGACCCAGUAAUGGGAAAGACUUAUCGGUAUGGGAGAGGCCUGCAUCGUAUCAUGUUUGUUGGUGAGGUAAUAGCUCACCAAGGCUAUGACGCGUACCUGGUGUGAGAGCACGACCAGGCAGAGUGGGACUGAGACACGGCCCACACUCCUACGGGAGGCAGCAGUGAGGAAUUUUCCGCAAUGGACGAAAGUCUGACGGAGCAAUCCCGCGUGGAGGAUGACACCUUUCGGGGCGUAAACUCCUUUUCUGAAGGAAGAAAUUCUGACGGUACUUCAGGAAUAAAGGGCGGCUAACUACGUGCCAGCAGCCGCGGUAAUACGUAGGCCCUAAGCGUUAUCCGGAAUCACUGGGCGUAAAGCGAUCGAAGGUGGACUUGUAAGUGAGGUGUUAAAUACCUGCGGCUCAACCGAGGUGCUGCACUUCAAACUACAGGACUAGAGGAAUGCAGAGGAAACUGGAAUUUCUGUUGUAGGGGUUAAAUCCGUUGAUAACAGAAGGAACACCAAAAGCGAAGGCAGGUUUCUGGGCAUUUCCUGACACUGUGCGAUCGAAAGCGUGGGGAGCGAAAGGGAUUAGAUACCCCUGUAGUCCACGCCGUAAACGAUGAAUACUCGGUGUAGGAGGGUUCAAUCCCCUUCUGUGCCCAAGCUAACGCAUUAAGUAUUCCGCCUGGGGAGUACGGUCGCAAGACUAAAACUCAAAGGAAUAGACGGGGAUCCACACAAGCGGUGGAGCAUCUGGUUUAAUUCGAUAAUAAGCGAGGAACCUUACCAGGUCUUGACAUCCCGAGAAUCUCAAUGAGAAUUGAGAGUGCCUUUCGAGGAACUCGGUGACAGGUGUUGCAUGGUUGUCGUCAGCUCGUGCCUUGAGGUGUGCGGUUAAGUCCGUGAACGAGCGCAACCCUCGUCGUACGUUGCAUUUUUCGUGCGAGACUGCCCGUUUUACGCGGGAGGAAGGUGAGGAUGAUGUCAAAUCAGCAUGACCCUUAUGAUCUGGGCGACACAGGUGCUACAAUGGCUGGUACAAAGGGCAGCGAAAUCGCGAGAUGGAGCCAAUCCCAAAAAACCAGUCUCAGUUCGGAUUGGAGUCUGCAACUCGACUCCAUGAAGCUGGAAUCGCUAGUAACCGUAAAUCAGCCAUGUUACGGUGAAUAUGUUCCUGGAUCUUGUACUCACCGCCCGUCAAGUCACGAAAGGUAGGGGUGCCCAAAGUC
rnacentral:rRNA from 1 species